UUUGGUCAAGUUUACCUCGUG
rnacentral:piRNA from 1 species